UAGCAAUACCUGGUGGCGACCGGCGCACGGGUGCGUAACGCGUAUGCAACCUGCCCCCAUCAGGGAAUAGCCCGCCGAAAGGCGGAUUAAUGCCCAUAGGCCCAGGGCGCCGCAUGGCGCUAUGGGUGAAGCUCCGGCGGAUGGGGAUGGGCAUGCGUGCCAUUAGCUAGUUGGGGCGGUAACGGCGCACCAAGGCGACGAUGGCUAGGGGGUCUGAGAGGAUGGUCCCCCACACUGGUACUGAGACACGGACCAGACUCCUACGGGAGGCAGCAGUGAGGAAUAUUGGUCAAUGGGCGGAAGCCUGAACCAGCCAUGCCCGCGUGCAGGAUGACGGCCCUACGGGUUGUAAACUGCUUUUCCCCGGGAAGAAUAAGCCCCUCGUGAGGGGUGAUGCCGGUACCGGGGGAAUAAGGAUCGGCUAACUCCGUGCCAGCAGCUGC
rnacentral:rRNA from 1 species